UACGUAGGGUGCAAGCGUUGUCCGGAAUUAUUGGGCGUAAAGAGCUCGUAGGCGGUCUGUUGCGUCGGCUGUGAAAACCCGAGGCUCAACCUCGGGCCUGCAGCCGAUACGGGCAGACUAGAGGCAUGCAGGGGAGAACGGAAUUCCUGGUGUAGCGGUGAAAUGCGCAGAUAUCAGGAGGAACACCGGUGGCGAAGGCGGUUCUCUGGGCAUGUCCUGACGCUGAGGAGCGAAAGUGUGGGGAGCGAACAGG
rnacentral:rRNA from 1 species